rnacentral:pre_miRNA from 1 species
AGGCGAUGCAAUUCUCUUUGGUUAUCUAGCUGUAUGAGUGGUCAUCUACGCAUCAUAAAGCUAGGUUACCAAAGAUAAGUGUAGUCUG